rnacentral:rRNA from 1 species
GGCUGUCGCUGACCUUUUUCAAAGGUCGUGCACGCCCGAAGCGCUCUCGCCUACAAUCCACCCCACCACUUGUGCAUCACCGCGCGGGGCCUCCCUCUUGGCUCGCUUCGAGAGAGGCUCGCGUUCUUCACAUCACACACACACCUUUUUAGUUUUGAAUGUCAUUCAUUUGCGAUCACGCAAUCAAUACAACUUUCAACAACGGAUCUCUUGGCUCUCGCAUCGAUGAAGAACGCAGCGAAAUGCGAUACGUAAUGUGAAUUGCAGAAUUCAGUGAAUCAUCGAAUCUUUGAACGCACCUUGCGCCCCUUGGCAUUCCGAGGGGCACACCCGUUUGAGUGUCGUGAAAUUCUCAAAAACCUUUUUCUUUUUGGGAAAGGGUUUUUGGACUUGGAGGCUUCUUGCUGGCUUCACCUUGAAGUGAGCUCCUCCUAAAUGAAUCAGUGGGGUCCGCUUUGCCGAUCCUUGACGUGAUAAGAUGUUUCUGCGUCUUUGGGUUUGGCACUGUCACCUGCUUCUAACUGUCUCAUUGACAAUGAUGGUGCUCCGGUCACCACCGCUCUUAUCGGUGGGAGGCUUGACCCACAAAAACAAAACCUUGACCUCAAAUCGGGUGAGACUACCCGCUGAACUUAAGCAUAUCAAUAAGCGGAGGAAAAGAAACUAACAAGGAUUCCCCUAGUAACUGCGAGUGAAGCGGGAAAAGCUCAAAUUUAAAAUCUGGCGGCCUUUGGCCAUCCGAGU